rnacentral:rRNA from 1 species
CGCUGCCUAAUACUGCAAGUCGAACGCUUUUUCUUUCCGGAGCUUGCUCCACCGAAAGAAAAAGAGUGGCGAACGGGUGAGUAACACGUGGGUAACCUGCCCAUCAGAAGGGGAUAACACUUGGAAACAGGUGCUAAUACCGUAUAACACUAUUUUCCGCAUGGAAGAAAGUUGAAAGGCGCUUUUGCGUCACUGAUGGAUGGACCCGCGGUGCAUUAGCUAGUUGGUGAGGUAACGGCUCACCAAGGCAACGAUGCAUAGCCGACCUGAGAGGGUGAUCGGCCACACUGGGACUGAGACACGGCCCAGACUCCUACGGGAGGCAGCAGUAGGGAAUCUUCGGCAAUGGACGAAAGUCUGACCGAGCAACGCCGCGUGAGUGAAGAAGGUUUUCGGAUCGUAAAACUCUGUUGUUAGAGAAGAACAAGGAUGAGAGUAAAAUGUUCAUCCCUUGACGGUAUCUAACCAGAAAGCCACGGCUAACUACGUGCCAGCAGCCGCGGUAAUACGUAGGUGGCAAGCGUUGUCCGGAUUUAUUGGGCGUAAAGCGAGCGCAGGCGGUUUCUUAAGUCUGAUGUGAAAGCCCCCGGCUCAACCGGGGAGGGUCAUUGGAAACUGGGAGACUUGAGUGCAGAAGAGGAGAGUGGAAUUCCAUGUGUAGCGGUGAAAUGCGUAGAUAUAUGGAGGAACACCAGUGGCGAAGGCGGCUCUCUGGUCUGUAACUGACGCUGAGGCUCGAAAGCGUGGGGAGCGAACAGGAUUAGAUACCCUGGUAGUCCACGCCGUAAACGAUGAGUGCUAAGUGUUGGAGGGUUUCCGCCCUUCAGUGCUGCAGCAAACGCAUUAAGCACUCCGCCUGGGGAGUACGACCGCAAGGUUGAAACUCAAAGGAAUUGACGGGGGCCCGCACAAGCGGUGGAGCAUGUGGUUUAAUUCGAAGCAACGCGAAAACCUUACCAGGUCUUGACAUCCUUUGACCACUCUAAUAGAGCUUCCCCUUCGGGGGCAGUGACGGUGUGCAUGGUCGUCAGCUCGUGUCGUGAGAUGUUGGAGUCCCGCAAGCGCCCUGUACAUCAUUUAUGGCUCUACGAUGCGUCGAUGGGGGAUGACGUAUCAUGCCCUUGACGGACUGCACGGAGUCGAAAAUUCGCAA